rnacentral:rRNA from 1 species
UACGGAGGGGGCUAGCGUUGUUCGGAAUCACUGGGCUUAAAGGGCGCGUAGGCGGGCUCGCAGGUCAGGGGUGAAAGCCCACGGCUCAACCGUGGAAGUGCCUUUGAUACCGUGAGUCUCGAGGGAGGUAGGGGCGUGCGGAACUUCCGGUGGAGCGGUGAAAUGCGUAGAUAUCGGAAGGAACAUCGGUGGCGAAAGCGGCGCGCUGGACCUCUUCUGACGCUGAGGCGCGAAAGCCAGGGGAGCAAACGGG